GCGAAAUGCGAUAAGUAAUGUGAAUUGCAGAAUUCAGUGAAUCAUCGAAUCUUUGAACGCACAUUGCGCCCGCCAGUAUUCUGGCGGGCAUGCCUGUUCGAGCGUCAUUUCAACCAUCAAGCCCCCGGCUUGUGUUGGGGACCUGCGGCUGCCCGCAGGCCCUGAAAAACAGUGGCGGGCUCGCUGUCACACCGAGCGUAGUAGCAUACAUUCUCGCUCAGGGCGUGCUGCGGGUUCCGGCCGUUAAACGACCUUCAUAACCCAAGGUUGACCUCGGAUCAGGUAGGAAGACCCGCUGAACUUAAGC
rnacentral:misc_RNA from 1 species